UACGGAGGAUCCAAGCGUUAUCCGGAUUUAUUGGGUUUAAAGGGUGCGUAGGCGGCCUAUUAAGUCAGGGGUGAAAGUCGGUAGCUUAACUAUCGCAGUGCCUUUGAUACUGAUGGGCUUGAAUACACUAGAGGUAGGCGGAAUGUGACAAGUAGCGGUGAAAUGCAUAGAUAUGUCACAGAACACCAAUUGCGAAGGCAGCUUACUAUGGUGCAAUUGACGCUGAGGCACGAAAGCGUGGGGAUCAAACAGG
rnacentral:rRNA from 1 species